CGCGGCAGCCCGGCCUCGCGCCCACUCCUCGCCCGGCACACGGACCCCCUCCACCCCCGCGCCCUCCCCCACUCCGGAGCUGUCAAAGAAGAAAACGCCGUGCACACACCUUGGAAUGGACGGGCGCUUCAGUCACUGACUCGCCAAACUCUUAGAAGGUGUCCAUUGGUCUGCAGGGAGGUUUGAGCCUGGAGUAGGAGCCGCUUUCUUAUUAUUUAAUAAUGUUGGAAGUGCCGGGUCCGCUGCCAGAGUUGUGGGUCAUGUGGGCACAGCAGAGGCUGGCUGCUGCCAGUACCAGGGUUUCCUGAGGAUCCUGAAACUAUGAUCUCAUCCUCCUCAUCCGCCUCCCCCGCCCCUCUCUCCGCGGGCGCGCACGCACAGCACACACACACACACUCACACACACACUCAUGCUGAAUGCACUAUCUUCCUUCCUGGACCGAAAUAUUCCUCUAGGGAAAUAGUGGGCACGCUCGUCAUUGAAAAAAAAAAAAAUCCUUCAGAUAGAGAUUUUUCUCUUCCAAAGCUUGAUUUAUGUGCUUUGUUUAUUUCCUACAGUUUUCCCUCACACGUGCAGGAGAUUGGAACAGAGAAUCAGGUUUAAAAUUAAAAAUAAUUAUUCUCUUAUGUUGACCCAGAUUUUGGUCAGAACCCAAGAACUUAAACAGUACAAUUUCAAUUUAAAACAGAGGCAAAAUAUACAAGGCUUGAAUAUGGAAUAUUCUUAGAUGUAUGCAGUGGGUUUCUUUCCCAAGCUGCAAACAUUCCCCAAACAUUACCUCAUUUAUUUGCAGAGCAUCUUUGCAGAGGAGGUGGAUGAAAAGGCAAAUAGUAUUGUCACUUCAGAGACACAGAAGCAUAAGUAAGAUAACAUGACCUAUCCAAGUACACAUAAUAAGUCAGUAUCUCACUAUAAAUAUUAAUUGCAUAGCUACUCACAGGUUGCUUUUUCACUAUGAUCAAUUCCCAGAUACUUAGUUUACUGAAAAUAAUGAAAACAUUGUUGAUUAUUUUUAAGUUACCAAGAUUGAAAAUUAUUUUAUCUUACUAUAUGUAUGUUUUCAUAUAAUUUUCUCUUGUAUUAUAUUUCCAAUUUCACGUUUUCAUAUAAUUUUCUUUCUUUUUGGAGGAAUGUGGCAUGUAUAUGCAUACAUUUAUAUCCAAUUGCAUUGUUUAAAUCCUUAGAUAGUAAUUUCAAGCAAUUUUAGCCAAUGUUUCUGAAGUAGUCACCAAUUUCAUAAUUUGUAUAUGUCAUUCAAACCCCUUUCACCUGGUGUAUGUGAAGAGCUACGCUACAUUUUGAAGGAUAGAAAGAAGUUUAAUAUAAGUAUCUGUCUUUAGUUUACAUCUAGUUGUUGAAACAAGAUACAUAUACUGAAUGACUGCAGAUAAAAACCUUUAUUAUUUUGGUGGUGUGAGUUAUCACAAAGAAAGUACAAAAUACACUUAUUUUCUUUUUACUUAAUUUCUGUUCCAUGUUCAAAUCAUCUCAUUUGCCUAUGUGCCCUAUAUUUCAAUCUGUCAUUAACCCUCCUACCUUCUAAAUGGCCAAGGUAAUUAUGUCUAACCUUGCCCUUCUCUUACACUGGCACCAUACUCACAUAAACAGUAAAUGGGGAUUGUUUUAUGUCGUAAAAUUUCCCAGAAGGAACACUCUUGGGUAGCUUCUGUUCAGUGUAGAUAAGGAACUCCAGCAGCUAACUAGCCUUCUAAUAACCCAAAAAGAAAACAAAUAGUAUGAAAGAGAGAAUGGUCAGAGAAAAGGCAGAAGAGAAAGCAGUCAAGAGGGGGGAAAAGGAGGGGGAAUUAAGUUACAAGAUAAGAAAGAAGAGAAGGAAACAAAAGGAGAAGAAAAAGAGGAUCAACUUUCGUGUGAAAGCUAAAAUUUUCCAAAUUUUGGUGCAUGGAAAACAAAUUCAGGAAAUUGUAGACUUUCUUAUUGAAUUUUUUUUUCCUAAACAAACUUACAGGAAUUUGGUGGCAAUGACACCAGGUGUUGGUUCUGCAGAGGAUGUGCUGAAAGAUCUCAAGUUUUUAAAAAGUAUAGGAUCCGCUAAAAGAAAUAUGUAGACCUAUUAGUAUAGUGUAAUAAUAAAAAUGACAAUGGGAUCAAAUAGCCAUGGUAUAUAAAUUUUUAAGAAGAAAUUAACACUGAAAUUAAGGGAGAUAGAUGGGAAAGCAAAGGCACUGGUAUAAUAAAGUAGGCAAUGAAGAGAUAAGUUUGCAAUAUUUAAAGCAAAAUAAUAUUAAUAAUAUAUUUUAAAGCACUUUCAGAUUUUUCCAGAUCUUUUCAUACAUUUUUAUGGAGUCUAAUAAUAAUCAGAAGUAGUCCCCUUUAUGGACUUCAUUUUUAAAGAGUGAUAAUUGUCCCUAAUUUUUUGUAAUACAUGUUGAAUGGAGAAGUACUCAAAAUUUUCAUUCAUUGUUUUGAAACUAUUAUAUUUUCUGAUCAGUCAACUCUAAAUGUUACUUAGUAUAUCGUCUUCCAAUACUUCUCCUAAACAAUAAGUCUAGAUGGAUUUCUGGGCGUAGAUUGUAACAGUGAUUUAUAAUCCAGGAUUUUACACAUGCUUUUGGAGUUAAACUAGAAGCUUUAGUAUGCAGCAGACUCUAAUGGCUUUGCAGCAUUCCUGGGAGAUUUCUGCAAAAGAGGUGGAGGGCUAAAUUGAACAGCAAUAUAUCAAGAGCACUUUCCUUUUGAUCAGCAUACUCAUAGCAGGAUUUGUUUUAAUUAGAGAUAUAUUUAGGUUUGAUGAUUAUUACAUGUGUUUCAGAAGUGCAUUACAACUUCGGUGGCUCAACAAUUACUAGCAGUUUGUGUCAGAAUUCCUUCAUUUGGGGAAAAAUAUUUUUAAUGUGGUUAUGCACAAACAUUUAUGGUUUGUACUAAUUUAAGCUAUCAUUAUCAACGAAAAUACAUUCCUGAUGUUUAUUGUUUUGCUCUUACAAUUUCUUGCUUUUUAAAAUUAUAAUUGAUAUGAGAAUGGCCAUGGGUAAAAUCAGAAUGUUCACUAUAUUAUGUUAAUAGUAAAACUCUAUGUGUGUACCUAUGGUUUAAUAUGUAAUGAUAUAUAGAGUAUACAUGUGCUUUGGGUCAAAUGGGGAUGGUUACUAUUAUCUAUAAACUGAUAAUAGUUUGGGGGCAUGAGGAAUUAACAAUUUUGGAGUAUUUAAAUGAUUCAAAAGAGUUGAAAAAAUAAAGACACUGCUAUUUUAUCAAUUAGAAGCUCUUACCCCUUGGAUGUAGACUGUUUCAGGGAAGAAUGGGGUCUUGAAAAACACAAAAUAUACAUAAAUUUUGCUUCCCCAACCGACUGGUUAGCUUUCAAGAAUGAGAAGUAUGUUAGCAGUCCCACACGGGUCAAGAAAAUAGAUCAACUGAGCUGUGGCGUGGGGAAUUCAUGGUUAGUUUUUUUCUUAUGAGCACUACCAAAUUUUGAGGCUAAGGUGGGCCCUAGGCAGAAUUAUGAAGUAGAUGAAUUUUGUCUCCCUCCAUUUUUCCCCCAAUGUCUCCUUCUUCCUGCAGAAGCCCUGACUGCCUUUGGGCUCCCAGGGAUAGUCAGCAACCCCUUGCUGUUCUCUCGCUUUUCCGAAUACCCGCAUUGUGGAACUCAUCAGCAGUGUAAAACAGAUAUCAUGUUCUGACCUCCCCUGAAAUGUGUAAAUGGUGUCCUAAGUAUUCAUGAAACCUGAGGGGAUGUGAGUAUGUGUUCAUAUUAAAAAACACCAAGGGUGUCUGUCUAUUCAGUCUCCUUCUGCAUCACUUCAAGAUGUAUAUUUAUAUAAGUUUAAUAUGUAUUCGCCUAUGAAACUCAGCAUUAAGACAUGGCCCUGUCAGCUGUUAGGGGGUAAUUGCUAAGUCUAAGAGAGCCGAGGUAGUCUUCCUUUCAUCCCACCUAUGCUCUGUCUCCUUAGCUAGACUGAAGCCCCCUGCAUAUGAGCAGGGCCUCCGAGCUCGGCAGUCCCUGGCAGUGCCUAUUAUGGUGCUCUGUUGUGAUGUCUCCUUUGUCGAUCUUCCUGUCUGGCUGACAACCUCAGAAGAAAUGUUGUUUCCAUUCUCCACGGUCUUCUCAAACUGAAGGAGAGAACCUAGCUUCAGAACUGGUGUAAGCGGUCAAGUGUAUUUUGUUUCUUAGUGUUAGAAUGAACAAAUCUGUUGACAUUCUAAAUGGCUGUAAGUCCACCUUAUAAUGGCAAUUCAUUAAAUACAUAUUAUGGUGAUUCACAUCUCUCAAUGGCAUCAUACCAGCAUGCCCUUUACUCCUGGGAGAAUUUAUUUUCUCAAUGGACCAUAAACAAAAUACAAAUGUUUUAGAUGAAACUUUAAUGCACUGUCACGGUGAAGCCACAGCAGGAAAAAGCCACCUGGAGAAUAGCUUUUGAGAAGGUGCUUAUAAUCUACUCACUUUACUGCUAAAACUGUUUUUAACUCUACUUUAAAUUGCUUUUUGGCUGAAUGUGUGUGUGUGUGUGUGUGUGUGUGUGUGUGUGUGUGUGUCUGCCCAAGAAUACAGAAUAUCUUGAUACAUGUAACCAUGGAUUGUACUGAAUAAAUCAGAAAUAUCAAUGGCAAAUACUGGCAAAUAAAUCUGUUCAACAUAGAUGACUUAUCCAAAUAAUUAAAGACCAGAAAACCCCUACUACUUAUUGCACAUUAAUUAUCUGAAUAGCUGUCUACUUAUUUCAGGAAAAUGUCAAAAUUUUCUUUGAUGUUUUCUGAAGAAAACCUAAUGUUUUUAAAAAAUACCAAAGAAACUGUUACAAAGUGAAAAGCUUAGUCAAAACAAUUUUAUUUAUGAAAAAUCAGCUUGACUGAUUUAAUUUUUUCCUGCUGAAAUGAUUCUUUACAUAUCAGGUAGAUACAGCCCAAAUCUCUUGUAGACCAUCAGGAACUAUGUUAACAAGCACACAUUUUAAUUUGAAAGUUAAUUGCUACAGCAAAUACCAUAUAAUUUAUUUGAUGUUGAGAAGCCUUAUGUGUUAUGAAAAACUAAAUGAAAAAUAAAGGAGGGAGGAUGAAGCUAAACUAACCAAUUUGUCAUCUUUAAAAUUGUGUAGUAAAUAUGUGGGUAGAUCCAUAAUUAAAACUUAUUGUUGGGAAAUAGAAUAUUUUAGCCUUUAGGGGAUACAUUUUGAGAUAGUUCAAAGUGUAUUUAUAUGUGUAAUGAUUUUUCUAAUAAUAUGCAAAUUUUCUUUGUUAAUCAAGAUGCUUGUAUUUUAUAUGUGCCACAAAUAUCACACAAGAUUAUCUUGAUCUUUCCUCCUUUUUGUCCCUGACCUGCAUCACCAGAUCAGCUUGAACAUUCCACCUUGUUUCAGUGCUUUCUCAUUUACAUAUUGCUUUAACUUCCCCCUUUUUUAUGUCAAUCAGGUAGUCUGAAAGAAACAGGGAUAGCAGGGAUUUUACAUGUUUUAUCAUAACCAAAAACCAAAAGCUUUAAUUUGUACCCAGUUCUUAGUCUGUGGUCAGCAUUGUCUUUGCUGCUCAGUAGACAUAUCUGAACAUUUCCUGAUAUUGAAAUUGUUGCUAUUUUCAUUUGCACAUAUCUCAAGAAGCAUUUUAAGAUUCUCAAGGACAGUGCUUAUAAUGAAAAACAUUCUAUUACUUUUUUCUUCCCUAGAGAAUCAAGCAUGUUUAUAUCAUGUAGAAGGUUCUUGGAAAAUGUUUAUAAGAUUAGGAUGAUAGAAAUAUUUUUAAAAAUUACUUCUGGCAUUACACAGCAUAUGGAAAUAAUUUUUUGAGCUUGUGAAUUCCUUUGACAGAUCAUGUUUUUAUGUUUUAUAUGAACAAGAUGAACUGGAUACCUUGUUUGGUUUGCUUUUGCCAUUGGGGUACCUUUUGGUUUGUAUGUUUAAAACACAUCAAAAAAAUUUUGGAUGGCAGAAUUAUGUAUAUGGAAAGGUUUUCAUUUAAAUUGUGUGAUCAAUACCACAGCCGUCUACUUCAUACUGUAAUGACAGUAAUUUAAUGAAGGAAAAGAAUUGUAACUUCCCUCAUUUAUAUCUGUGUCUUAAACGAUUACGGUAAAAGACUGUGAGCAUUUAAAAAAUAUUUUAUAUAGCCAGUCAUGGUGUUGCAUGCCUGUAGUAUUGGCUGCCUGGGAAGCCGAGGCCAGGGAUCACUUGAACUCAGGAGUUCAAAGUUACAGUGAGCUAUGAUCGCACCACUGCACUCCAGUCUGGGUGACAGAGCAAGAACCUAUGCUAGGAUAUAUAUAAAAGAAAUAGUGGAUAGUUUACGAUCUUUUGUUUUUUAUUUCAAAGAAAAUAAAAACAAUUUACUUAUUUUAUAGUAGAAGUGGAGUGAAUACUUUAAGGAUUAUGGUACAUAAAGUAUUCCAUAAUAAAUAUUCCCUCUCAUUUUCUUACCAUCAUUCAAAGUGCAUCCUUCAGCCUGGUGUUAUUCAUUUUCUUUGAGCUCGUAUCAAAGACUUACUCAUGGAAACACUAUCUUAAAACCUAUUCAUAUAAUGUGCCGUAUUGUUGUCUAACCAUUUCAUGUGUAUUAGACAUCAAGAUUGUAAACUUCUAAUCCAAUAUAUCAACUGUACAUUUCACAGCAUCUUGCAGUUAUUCUACAAAUACUUGCUGAUAGCUUUGUUGAUUAACUGAAAAUAGACUGCUAUUUUGACAUGACACUGCCCCAAAAUUGGAAAGAGUAAUUUCUUCUCUAUUUAUUAUUAAUCUCUAUGAGUUUCCAAAUAUUUAAAUAUAUUCCUAGUACAGCAUUAAAGUUGUUUAUAAUAAUGUCAUAAAAUUGAUAACAAGUUUUGUAUCUGUAUUUAUACAUAAGUGAAUAAAUAAAAAUUAAACCAAAA
rnacentral:lncRNA from 1 species